UACGUAGGGCGCAAGCGUUAUCCGGAAUUAUUGGGCGUAAAGAGCUCGUAGGCGGUUUGUCGCGUCUGCCGUGAAAGUCCGGGGCUCAACUCCGGAUCUGCGGUGGGUACGGGCAGACUAGAGUGUGGUAGGGGAGACUGGAAUUCCUGGUGUAGCGGUGGAAUGCGCAGAUAUCAGGAGGAACACCGAUGGCGAAGGCAGGUCUCUGGGCCACUACUGACGCUGAGAAGCGAAAGCAUGGGGGAGCGAACAGG
rnacentral:rRNA from 1 species